AGUUUGAUCCUGGCUCAGGAUGAACGCUAGCUACAGGCUUAACACAUGCAAGUCGAGGGGAAACGACAUUGGAAGCUUGCUUCCGAUGGGCGUCGACCGGCGCACGGGUGAGUAACGCGUAUCCAACCUGCCCACCACUUGGGAAUAACCUUGCGAAAGUAAGACUAAUGCCCAAUGACGUUGAAAGAAGACAUCUGAUUUCAACUAAAGAUUCAUCGGUGAUGGAUGGGGAUGCGUCCGAUUAGCUUGUUGGCGGGGUAACGGCCCACCAAGGCAACGAUCGGUAGGGGUUCUGAGAGGAAGGUCCCCCACAUUGGAACUGAGACACGGUCCAAACUCCUACGGGAGGCAGCAGUGAGGAAUAUUGGUCAAUGGGCGAGAGCCUGAACCAGCCAAGUAGCGUGCAGGAUGACGGCCCUAUGGGUUGUAAACUGCUUUUAUAAGGGAAUAAAGCGAGUCUCGUGAGACUUUUUGCAUGUACCUUAUGAAUAAGGACCGGCUAAUUCCGUGCCAGCAGCCGCGGUAAUACGGAAGGUCCGGGCGUUAUCCGGAUUUAUUGGGUUUAAAGGGAGCGUAGGCCGGAGAUUAAGCGUGUUGUGAAAUGUAGACGCUCAACGUCUGCACUGCAGCGCGAACUGGUUUCCUUGAGUACGCACAAAGUGGGCGGAAUUCGUGGUGUAGCGGUGAAAUGCUUAGAUAUCACGAAGAACUCCGAUUGCGAAGGCAGCUCACUGGAGCGCAACUGACGCUGAAGCUCGAAAGUGCGGGUAUCGAACAGGAUUAGAUACCCUGGUAGUCCGCACGGUAAACGAUGGAUGCCCGCUGUUGGUCUGAAUAGGUCAGCGGCCAAGCGAAAGCAUUAAGCGUCCCACCUGGGGAGUACGCCGGCAACGGUGAAACUCAAAGGAAUUGACGGA
rnacentral:rRNA from 1 species